CAUCCACGUUUGGCCUCUGGUCUCUCAAGGACAUCCUGAAGGUCUGCACGACAAAGGAGCAGCGUGACCCCUUGAAGGCUAACGAACAAAUUACUACAGUAUUUAAGGCGCUACAAGACUCCUGAUUGCUUUUGUGCAAGAGACUGACGUGGCUACCCUUCUGAAAAUAUUCAAGAUUAAAAUUCAGGAGCAGACAUUCUCAAGACCAAAAGACUGUCCUUUGUUUUCUGACAGGUACAAAUUUGGGAGAUAAAGACCUACAAUAAAUACACCAAAACAUAUCCAUGAGCGAGGGUGCAGGAGCCUUCUGUAUUUUACAUCAGGAUGCUUCAAAAUUCAAAAUCUAGAACCUUGUGGGCAUUUAAGUGUGAAUCUUAUGAUCUGAUCUUUCCUUAAAAACUUCCUCAGAGAACACUCAACUUCUUCCAGACCAAGCACACAGAUUAAGAGCUUUAUCCUGUAUCCUCAACACUAGUGUUCCCAGGGCAGCUUAUAAUUAGAGAUCUUUCCCCCAUCCUCCAGGUAUCUACAGUACUCAUUUUCCCGAGCCUUUUCCGAUUUUUCCAACAUGUUUUGAAAAUUGAGUCCAGAAAUCAGUUUUGGCCACAGUGCCCUGAAGUUACAUUUAUACCAACAGGUUGUAGCAUGUGAGCCAGAAGGGACUGGAUAAAUAGUUCAGAUAUUAUCAUAGAAUCUUGGAGUUGGAAGGGAUCCAAGGGUCAUCUAGUCUAACCCCCUGCAAUGCAGGAAUCUCAGCUAAAGCAUCCAUGACAGAUGGCCAUCCAACCUGUUUAAAACCCUCCAAGGAAGGAGAGUCUACCAC